CAUUUUCUUUGAAAAAGAACUAUCCUGAAAAGAAAAAAAACUAUCGAGCAGCUCGGAAGUCGCCCUCGCCGCCGCCUCUUUCCUCGUCUCAUCGGUGGCUGCACCGCUGCAAUGGUGGUUUGGCAAGCGGAGGAUCUGGUGGAGACGGAGAUUAGCGGUAGCGACGCCGCUUAUCUUCUCCGGAUCCGCGACCUUGCGCUCUCCCUCUCCGUCGCCGUUGAGCAGGGCCUGGCCUUUCCUCCAUCGGCCGCCUCAUGAUGUCAUUGACUUUGGAUGGAAGGGUUCUGCCUUCUGUAGUUGGUCAUGGCGUGUUAUCAUCCCCACAAAUUCUUCGAGGAAAAAAAAUGGAGAGUGUUCUGCCCGGUUAGGACUGUAAGUUGGUGCUGUAAAGUUGUAGUCACAACUGAUUAAUUAGCAGUGAUGAAAGAGGCGAUGCGAUGGCUUGGGCUACUGCUGCUCCAUGUCAAAGGUUACUGCAGGCAUGCUUACGAUGUGGUUCUGGUGAUAGGAGUUGAAAUUAGUAUGGCUGGACUAAUAUAGAUAAGUCAGUUUUCUUACUCUAAUAUUAACCUCUUUUUGCUCAACCUAAUAAUCUUGGUAAAAGUUCUUCCCAAAAAGCAUUACACCAGCCUCGGUCAGCUACUUUACAUUUAAUUUUGCAUGACUGAGACGAGGGAUUAGUAGUGCUAAGUUAACGUGAAUAUAUUAUACUAACAAAAUAGAGGCUUCUUUUGAGCCUCCAUCUUAAAGUUGUAAAAAUAAUAGAAAAUCUUAGUGUAUGGUCCUGUCAUUUUUGUACAUAAAAGUAUGACCAACUAAAUUAGCUAGACAGAGGUAUCAGGAACUCACACUUCAGUAUUGUAGCACUGGAUAUUUUCUUUUACUACCAGCAUAUUGAGUAUACAUACCAAAUUUAAGGUCAUGUUAAGUGUUACCGAGUUAAGAACAAUUGAAGACAAUGUCUUCCAACAUAGUCAAUAUGUAGAUCAGGUAAACAAUUC